GAUGAACGCUGGCGGCGUGCCUAAUACAUGCAAGUCGAGCGAACAGAUAAGGAGCUUGCUCCUUUGACGUUAGCGGCGGACGGGUGAGUAACACGUGGGUAACCUACCUAUAAGACUGGGAUAACUUCGGGAAACCGGAGCUAAUACCGGAUAAUAUUUCGAACCGCAUGGUUCGAUAGUGAAAGAUGGUUUUGCUAUCACUUAUAGAUGGACCCGCGCCGUAUUAGCUAGUUGGUAAGGUAACGGCUUACCAAGGCGACGAUACGUAGCCGACCUGAGAGGGUGAUAGGCCACACUGGAACUGAGACACGGUCCAGACUCCUACGGGAGGCAGCAGUAGGGAAUCUUACGCAAUGGGCGAGAGCCUGACGGAGCAACGCCGCGUGAGUGAUGAAGGUCUUCCGAUCGUAAAACUCUGUUAUUAGGGAAGAACAUACGUGUAAGUAACUGUGCACGUAUUGACGGUAACUAAUCAGAAAGCCACGGCUAACUACGUG
rnacentral:rRNA from 1 species